UGUGCGAUUUCAAAAAGCACGACCUUAUCAAUGAAAUAUCAAUGCCAUACCAGAGCAUAGAUACCUGUAACUCCCACUGCAUCCUGUUCCAUAAGGUUUUUAUUGCUGGUCUCACACUUCCAUUUAAGUGUGAUGCAAUACGACCACAAGCGCUGUAAAUUUUAUGAUUCAAGCUAUUAAUUUAAAAAUGAAUCCCCCAUUGAGACUUGUAAAUAAAUGUUAUUAUUUUUAGUUAGAAUUUGUAUCGGUCAUCGCAAAUUUAAAAUUUGUUGUUAUUAAGAAUCCAAUUAUACUGCACUGCCAAUGUGCACACUGAGCACAUCCCGUGGUAAUACCGUUUCACACUGGCACCAUCAAACCUCCGUCAAAAUAAAGAUAAUAAGCAUAAAAUAACAAAGUUGUGGUCUAGAUUGUGAAAUUUCAAGUUUUAACUUAGAAAAUUGGCUAUUGCAUUGCAUUGCAUAUUGCAUAAUAAAAAAUCCAUACAUGUACAAUAAACGCUACCCAUUGAACUUCCUUAAAAAUUGUCGCAGCUCUGUUUGGAAGUUGGUUUGACUUUGGUUGUAUGGAAUUUGCAAGCUACUAGGCAAUAUGGUUUCCUAUGCUCCUUCCGAGCAAUCUCCAGAAGAUUGUCGAGUCUAAUCCGCUUCGGUGCUGCGUUUUGGUUGCAUAAAAAAAUACUAGAACUGCGGUUGGAUCUGGCCUGGUCGACAUAAACGGAAUUAUGUCGGGACUUCCUCAAAUCCGCAGUUUUGUUAUGCCAAAUAUUUAAGGCUAUUCACACUGACGACCAUCGACGAUCUAUUUCUUGGAUGGUCGAUGCGAUAUUUAGCCGAUGGUUUUCAAGUUCAACUCUGAAUAAUUGUGAUUCACAACGAAAAUUGGUAUUAAUUGCGAAAAUGUAAACAAUAAUUGUGACAAAAAAUUAAGAAAAAACAGCAACAAUAACAGCACAAAACAGACCAUAAACAGAAAAUAUUCAAAUAAAUAUAAGAUGAAAGAAGCAGCAGAAAAUUUCAGUGGACUGAAAAAAUUAAAUUUUAUUAAGCGAGUGUGCUAUUCUAAACUCGUUCGAUCUUUCUGUAUCCACAACAUGGAGCAGAACACUAUCGGGCUGAACUUUAUACGGAUAUCAUCGAGGUCGACCUGUUCGGACCUGUUGGCAUCAGCUGUUUUUGAUGGAUGGUUAAAUAUCGCAUACGAAAGGGCGGGUUAUAGGCUCUGCACACCGAGAUAGGCUCACGGCGGAACGUUUGAAUUUUUUGAAAUAUGUGAAAAAACACCUGAUACGCAUAAAAUACCAAGGUUUUUGUCUGAAUAGGGAAAUUGAUACAAUUUUAAAUUAGUAAAUUAGGUUUUUAAUGGCUUUAAAAAACAAUUUAGUCAUAAAAAAUCAAAUACAUACAGUUAACGUACCCAAUUCUAUUGACGUCUUAUACGAGUUUUAAAUUGUAAUUUAAUCUAAUCUCAACCUUUGUCUAAUUGAUUUUUAAGAUUUACAAAAUCAAUCUAUGGCUUUCGCAACAAUCUCAACCUGUGGCACUCUCCUGAAUAGAUAAACAAUCUUUGCCCACACCCGUCUUCUGAUAAUAAAUCUCACACCCUUCUUUCUGCAGACCCUGCUCUUUGAGUAUUUUAAAGUUUUCAAUCUUCUGGAUGACGAAAGCCAAUAUUUGGGAUGACGAAAUCAAAUCGGAGUGCUUAUAGAAAAAUUAUUUUCGAAAGGGGUUCCAUGCAGAGAUCGAAGAGUUCAAAUUACUCUUGAUCCUGAAGCGAAACCGAAAAGUCGAACUAAAAACUAAGAUCGCGCAAACCCUUUUUCCGGAAUCUUUGUAAUCCCUAAAUUAAGUCUAUAUCUGUGAAAUAAGAGAGUUGCACUUGCAAAGUAUCUGCUAAAUAUCGCAUAGAAAAUGGCGGCCUAGGAAAAUUCCUGAUGGAUGGUAGAAUACCUGGGAAAUAUUCGAAACGGCAAAAUCGUACGGACAAUCGCCGAAAUGGAUGGUGGAUGGUCGUCGGUUCCCAUUCAAUGGAUAACGCUUUAGCGACAUAAGCAACAUGGGGCUGUGCAUUACCAUGGGGCAAAAUAACUUUUUCUUGUAAUUUUUCAUUUUUAUACCCGAUACUCAAAAUGAGUAUUGGGGUAUAUUAGAUUUGUGGUAAAAGU